UCGUCAAUCUGUUGCGGACAGAUGAAAUGGAUAUGUGAAUCGAUACCGCCGGCUGUCAGAAUCUGGCCUUCGCCUGCGAUCACUUCAGUCCCGGCACCGAUGGAAAUGUCGACAUUUGGCUGGAUAUCGGGGUUGCCUGCCUUGCCUAUGGCGGCAAUACGGCCACUUUUGAUGCCGAUGUCGGCUUUAACGAUGCCCCAGUAAUCGACGAUCAAUGCGUUGGUGAUCACCAGGUCCAUGGUCCGGGCGCUUGGACGCUGCCCCUGCCCCAUACCGUCUCGG
rnacentral:sRNA from 1 species